GCGGGUAUAGCAUAGUGGUAAUGCGCCACGUUGCCAACGUGGAUAGAGGGGUUCGAUUCCCCCUACCCGCU
rnacentral:tRNA from 1 species